rnacentral:rRNA from 1 species
AAAUACGGUCUAAAUACCCUAAAGGCACAAGAUCCUGUCUGAUCUUGGAAGCUAAGCAUCAUCAGCCCUGAUUAAUAUUUGGAUGGGGGACCAUAAUGAAUAACAGGUGCUGUAGGUU